GUUAUCGUAGCUUAAAAUAAAGCAUUACACUGAAGAUGUUAAGAUGGGCUCUAGUACAGCCUCGAAAACA
rnacentral:tRNA from 1 species